CCCCAAACAGCUUUGAGUCUAGAACAGAAAUAAAACCAGUGGGGUUUAAUGGUAAAUGUUAAAGUAGUUAGCUGUGUUGCUUUUUACCCACUUCUGUGAACUUUUGCAUCAGAAUGUGGGUAUUGAGAAACAGCUUCCAUGGCACCAUUAAAUGGAUUCUUAGAACUACUGUGUUUAUUGUCCUUGAGGUUCUGACAUCUUAGUGUGAGGGCUGUUUAAGGAUGUCAUUUUGAGCUUUCAGAGCAUGAGAUCAGUGAAUGAAGUCCCCUGUGCAGCUUCCCAUCCCAUUAAUCUAAUCCUGUGUUGUAGGAAGGCCAUCUUAAUCUCCAGGAUUGAGAGGUGAGAUUGCUAUUUCCUUAAAAAUGAACUAUGAAGCAACACACACAGUGUGCAUUUGCUUUCUACUCCUCCUUUGAUAGCAAGGCUUGAAGAGGAUCUCAAACUUUGUUCUGCUUGUCUGUCUUUCAUAUUGGGAAUAUCUGCUCCUCAUUUUCUUCUUUGUUCGCAGUUUCUGGCAAAGCUCCUUGGAGGAGGAUGUUACUGAUGUCACACAAGGCGAUAACCUGAGCUUCAGCUCCCCAUCCAAAAUGAGAUGGGGAAGGAAUGCUGAUUCUCAGACUGGAAACUGACAGCCUAAGACUACUGUUCAUGGUCUAAGAAUCGGCAUUCUCUCUUGUCUUCCCAUCUCUGCUUGAUGUCAAUAAUCUGGUCCUCCAAUGAUCUUUCCAGAGCCCUUUAAGAAAGAAGGGAGAAUCUGAUGUUUCAAAUAUGAAAACUGUUCUAGCGUGAGGGGAGAGGGAUUGCAUCUGUCUUUGAACAUAAUAAAGGAGACUUUAUGCUUCAUCAUUCAUUUUUAAGCAAUGCCCAUGCCUUUGGACCUUGGUGCUUAGAGAUCUCUUGAAUUCAUCUUCUCUUGUUUUUUUUUGUUUUGUUUGUUUGUUUGUUUUUUGGACUUUUAAAUUAUUCGGAGAGCUCUGCAUGAACAGUGAAAUGAAAAUACAAGCAAAUUUUUUAUGGCAGAUCCUUGCAUGGAAGCAGGUUAUUUUACACUAUCUGUCUUUGUGUUCUCCAUUUACUUUUGACAUCAGAAGUUAACCUUUAAGGAAGUGGUGUAUUCUUUCUCUUCCAGCAUAUCUUUUGGUGGAAGAGAUUUGCCCUGCUCCUCUCAGGUCACCGAUUAAGAUGAAUGGCCUAUUGUAGUUCCUGAACACUGCCAAAUUAAUAGCCCAGAGAAUCUUAUUAAUUAUCUUUUCACUGAAGAGUGAACAUGUUUUCUAACAGCUACUGAAAUAAUAAAUCUAUAAUUCUUUUAGAAUCUUGUUGUCUUUUCCACCCAUUCCUCCUCUACAGGGUGACAGAUUUGAACUUUCAGCUUUCUUUCUUAUUUCCCCUUCACACACACCCAACUUCUCUUCCUUCCUGGAGUGUAUGACAUGAGAUAAGAACUAUGCAAUGUUGCCGUCUCACUUUCCCCUGUCUUGAAGUUUGACUCUUACUGCAAGGAUGUAAACUGGAGAACUCUCUAAGUGGAAAAGGUGUAGCAGAGGUUUCAAGACUAGCCUUACAGUGCAAAGGAUGUGAAGUUUUCUUUGAUGAUAAUGAAGGGAAAUGGAAGCAAAUAUAAUCAGCUGGUUAUAAUCCUGCUUUCCAUGCACCACAACCAAUCCACUUGUGAUAUUCUGCUUCUGCCAGUAGCCUGGUAAACUUGAGUUUUCCUAUCUAAAACAUCUUUUUAUGUAUGUUGUGUCUUUGUUCCACAGAAAGGAGCUACUGUUUUUAUUUAAACUUUGAAACUGCAAGAUGCAAAUUCCGUUAAAAUCAUUUAUCGUAAGUGAUCUUGCCUAACAAAACUGUUAGUGCUCCUUGUGGAUGCUCCAGACUAGAUAAAAAUCUUGAGUAUUCCUGAGUGUGUGAAUACUGUCAGGGAGCGAAAGUGGGACUUUAGUUUCAGUUGAGUGAGUUCAAGGGCAGUGAGGAUGAAAUUCAGCAUAACUUACUUUGGCAAAUGAAAGAGGAUGUCGUGGAAAGCUGGGGGAGAGUCUCUGAGCAGAAGAAGAAUGAUGCUGUCUUCUUACUUCUCAACUAAACAAUGAAACCGCCUCAGGAAGGUCUUGGGCCCAUAGACACACUUGGAACCAAGGAGGAACUGGGAAACUGACUCUUGCUUCUGCAGUUUCUUAUAGGAGACUUGUGUAUGUUUCCCGUGACUGAAGCAAAUGAUCCUGGUUUGCUGUUUUGCUCUAAGUCUGAUGUUGAAUCCCAUGCAAUGGGCCAGGCUGUGUACUGACUGCAGGAGUUGGGGGAUUCUUCUUUGUUUUUCCUUUUUUUUCCUGUGACCCACAGUCACAACCUGGGCUACAUUCAUACAGAACUGUAAACUAGCUUGUAGCUGAUUCCAGGCUUUGCUGUUGCAGCUGCUGGGUUGAGCCAGAGGUGAGGGGUAUGGAGUGGGGCGAAUGAGUAUGGGACUAGUGGCAAAUGCAGAGGGGCAGUGUUCAGGGGGAGCUGACAGGGAACCAAGGUAGUCAUGGUUUGGGGGUGUGGGGCAAAUUAGAGAAAAAACACUGUGCCUACCUUCUUGGAAUGAAGGGCUGGGAGGGGGCUCUGUAGGAGAAAGCAGACUGUUGCAGAAUGGGGAAAGAAGGUGCAGAGGACGUGGGGCCAUAGAGAAGUCCCUGGGAGGGGGCUGCAAGUUGCUAUGGGACACUUGGAAAGGACAGAGAGAGGCCAAGUGUUUUUUUUUUUUAUCCACACUGAAUUAUCAGGACAUAAACAUUAGUGUUUCCCUGUGCACAAAAGCUUGUCCCUCUUCCAUCGUUCGCUAUCCCGUGUAUCCCUCAUGCAGGAGACGAAGCCCUGCUUUGAGCUUGCUAUGAUCUAUGAGAGGAGGGGGCGAGGGGCCCUUCCUCUGGGCUUUAUAUGCCAACCCAACUUAAACUUGGCACGCAUUUAAAAUCAGGGAGAUUCCCAAACAAAGCUUGUUUUAAUAAGUUUAAUGUUGAAAGUGUGUUCCAGUGGACUCCUUCAAAAACAAAUCUUGACCAAAAUUUGACACUGUUAGAAAAAUCAGAAAAUUAAAAAUUCUGAACUUUACUGAUUCACCUCUCACUCUCACACUGCCUGUUUUACACCACCCAACCAUCUUUAACUGUCCGUUUAAAACUAGUGAGGUUUGUGCUAAGGUCAAAAUGACAAAUGACGAGUUCAUAAAAUCCUGUUUCUUAUUCAAAGACUCCAUUUCCAUGGUAGUAUAGCAGAGAACAGUGCAACACUACUUGCUACAAAAUUUGCAUUUGUUAGUUGCUACACAUUAUUGUUAAUGGAGUUAAAAAUACAAACUUGCAAGCUGUACCCACAUUUACAUAAACCUUCAACGCCAUAGAGUCAGCCUGUCUUAUGACGCCACAGAUCAGUCGUGUUUCCACUUUGUUCCACCAGUAUAUCACGCUGAGAAAAUGUACGGAACUUGAAUGUAACAAUGUACCUGAGGCUCUACACUUUGAAAUAUUUACUAUCCAUUGAAUAAACAACAUAGACCUAGCAGCCAAAGAAAACUACUUACACUCACUGGUGUAAAUCAGGUAAGAUAGUAAGUGAUGGCAGAAUGAUGGAGAAGGUAUGGCAGUGGAUCCCUUAAAUGUUAACUUCCCAGAUUGUUUAAAGGUGUAGGGCUUUUAUGAAGAGGGUGUAAUUUUUGGGUAGUAGCUGGACUCUAAAGCACACUUUCAACUUUAAUUCCUUUGGAAAAAAAACUCCAAACCUUCUUAUUUGGGAGUAAAUAUUAUGAGGUAACUUUUGGUCUCAAGCCUUGCCUAAAUUUUGCAAAUGCUUUCCAUGAUUGCCAGCCCUGGUUCAGGUCCUCCCCUUUCUGCAGUCCUGAGAGCUCUAGUGUAGAUGGACUGCUGCCACUGUUUUCAGCACAGUGUUGUUAGACCUGCUGUGAACAAGAUCAGGUGACGAUUUAAAAACACUGGUGAUGUGUUAACAAAGUUAGGAGCCCCCAGUGUAAACUUGUGGAGAUGAACUGAUGGUAGCUACAGCAAGAAAUUUUGGAAAAUUUCUGUAAUAGACACACAGCUUGUGUGUGACUUUGAAUUGGCUGGCCAAGUAGGAACUGGUCACCUAAGGAUGCUUUCCAAAUUUCUUGCAUUAUGGAUAAAUGCAGACUGUGGAGGGGAGCUCCUACAUAGGACUUGCCAGACUUGGUCAGAUCCAUGGUCCAUCUAGUCCAAUAUCCUUUCUCGAACAGUCGCCAGCACCAUGUAUUUCAAAGGAAGGUGCAAGAAACCAUGUAGUAGGCAGGUGUGGGAUAAUCUGCUCCCCAUGAGUGUCUUCAUCCUAAACACUAAUAAUUAGAAACUGGUUUAAAUCCCAAAGCAGGAGGUUUGAUAUUAAUUCCCAAACUUUUUCUUUUUUCUUUUUUACUGUUGUUCUCAGAUGUUAUUAGAUGUUAUAAAUGUCCAGUCUUUUUUUGAGUCUUGAUAAGCUCUUGUCUUCAACAGUAUCCUGAGGCAGUGGGUUCCACAGUAGAUAUGUGAAAAGAUAAUUUCUGUUGUCCAUUUUGAGUUUGGCACCUUUCAAUUUGUUUGAAUGUUCCCUUGCUCUAGUGUUAGAGAACUUCUUGGUCAGGAAGCUUGGUCUCUCUGUGAAUGUAAUGGAAACAACAGUGGAGCCGGGAGCUCUGAAGUGGAUUUCUUCAUUAGCUGGAGGGCAGGAGCUACAAGGAAGAGCCGUGUGCUCUGGUAUUAGACACCUAAUGUGGGUAGUGGUAGGGGUCCCUCGGAUAUUUGUAGUGAUGAAUCUUGACUGUUCUAACCCUAGUUUUUCCUCUUCUGUCAGAGGCAGAUUCUCACUUGUGGCUGUUCUUGGCAUGGCAGCUUUUGGGGAAAUCUGAAUUAGUGUGCUCAUAGCAAGUCUUGAGGCACAUCAGACGUGCUGCGGUCUUCUAGGCCUUGUAUGCAUUACAGAUAGUUGCUGUGUUUGAUUGUGGUGAUGAAGAAUUGAGUUAGCUGACAACUUUUUCCUGGACUACCCUGUCGGCUAAUUUUAAUUCUUCAAAGCCCUAUUCAGACAGUCACUGUGUAUCAUGUAGACAGGGCUCUAUAGGUAGCCAAGUAAAACAGGAGUGUAGCAAUGACCUUGGAAGGCCAUUGGAGAAUCUAGCAGCACACGUCCUUGAAAGUUGCUAAUAUUUAUAUUAGUCACUGUUAUGCAAAAGUUUCCCUUCUACUCCUCUAUUUUUCAUGUUUACAAAUUUAUGGAAAAUUCUUAUUUUGUUCCUAAAUUUUACAUGUUGAUCUCUACCUAAAAGUGGCCUUUUCAUAAAUUGGAGCAAAAUUCUUUCAGUUGAUCUUGAAAAAUACUUUUUCCCUGUAUUAAGAAAAUCUAGUCACUUUUUUAAGGAGAGCUAUAUGAAAAAUGACUGAAGAUUUAAACUUGGCAUAGACACAGUCCUUGAGAAGUAGUGCCUGUACUACACUUAAAAUACCUUGGUUUUGAUUGACUAAAAUAGACAGUUUGAAAAUUGCCUAAGCCAAGCCUUCUCAAGAGAAAAUUAAAUUUCCAUGUGCACACUUCAGGAGACAUAGAUUGUUCGCAAGUUCACAGCUAGUUAGGUACAUGCACAGAUUGGUUCAAGAAGCUUAUGGUGCGGCUUGUGAAGUCUGCACAGAUUGGAGAUUUUGCCAGUCUAGUAGCUCUGGUUAAAAGAAUUUACAAGGUCUGUAAGCUUAAAAUUAAAGGGAAAGAAGUGUGUUAAUGCAGCGUUAACAAUACAUAAUUGACUGCUGCAUUCACUGAUGUGAUCUGAAUAUUCUAACAUUACUCAGCUGUGUUGCAUGUAAGUACUAUUUUCUUUCUCUCUUGGGAAAUAGCUAAGUUCCUAGAAGGACAGACUAUGAAAACAUACUGUAUGUGUAAUGUGGCCAAGUUAACUUUUGCAUUUCCCAAUGUUUUAUUAUCUUAACUGUGGUAUGAUGUGAAUACCAUUUCUUGCAUGUAAUAUGUCACAUUCAAUAUAAAACAUAAUAGAUAUGUGUUUAAUUCACAGAACUCUCGGUUGACCCUCCCAAACGCCCUCUUCUGUGUUCUUUUCUCUCUUGUCUCUGUUGCAGUUAGGCCUUUCCAGAUGCAGCCAAAUUUUCCAAAAGUGGCCACUGAUUUUAGGAGUCUCAGUUGUUGCAAGUCCAGUGUAGGGUACCUGAGGCCAGAUUUUCAGGGGUGCUUAGUACCUGUGGCUCCCAUUGACUUCAAUUGAAAUAUUGUGCUAGAACAGCAUGUUUUGGGACACACAAACCGAAAACCAGAGGUGAAGGGGAUCACCAUACAGGCUUUGUCCAUCAUGCCUAAUGCUGAGUAACUGCAUUCUGAUGCCCUCUCUUUGAAGUUGAGAGAGUUGACUGAGUUAAUCAAGUUGGUCUCUCCCCUCACCCCCAUGCACCAACAACAGCAAACUUGAUGAAUUAACAGAGACUGCUCUGUCAGGGAGACAAAUGCCUUUCCCCUCUGCUGUACGCUGCCCCUCUGAGAUUAAGGAAAUUCCUGCUGACACUUUACAUGGGACUGUAGCUGUUUGGAUUACUAGAAUGAGGGCAAUUGGCAUUUAGUUCCUGUAACAAUCCCCCUUCACUCUAGACAGUAUCUUUUGUCUUCUAUUUGGAAUUGGUUUUCAUGUGGCGUUAAUCUGGGGUAAUACACAGCAUCUGGCAUCAAUGUUUGUAGAAAGCAUGUCAGAGUUCUCAUUUGUAAUGAUCUUCACUUGCAGUAUGCAAGUCUACUGUAGGGAAGGCAUCAUGAGAUUCUGUCCAGCCUGCUGUAGCAAGCUGUAACUGUUUUUAAUCACCGUCAUCUGUUUCUACGCUGGGGGUUUCUACAAACAUUUCUCAUCAUUGCUAUCAUCAAUGGUAGCAACAUUGGGAGCUAGGGUAAGCAGGGCUCCAGGAUCCCAUUGCAUUAAGCGCAGCAUUCAGAGCAGAUUAGCAUGACGAUACUUAAAAUGCCAGUGACUGUUGGUGCACAGUUCACAUGAGCAUGUUUAUUGAUAUCACUGAUUGGACUCCACUAGGGGUGUCAGUGGUAGGACCCUAUAGGAAAGUGUUCUGGUGUAGACAAGACCCUUUUUGCUGGUUGGGUUCUAGUAACUUCUCCUUGACUUGUGUUUCAGACUACAAUCCCCAUUUCGGGACAUGACUACACUACAAACUGUCGUUGACACAAAGUACAUUCUUGUACAGUGACCACCAUUGCUCGUGCGAAUGCAUGCUUGGCUGCUUGCAUCUGCAUUGUAUGUGCUCACCAGGAGUGCUUGUGUCACUGCAAAGUGUGUUGCAUGUCGCUGUCAGUGGUGUAAUGCCUUUUGGGAACUUUUUGCAAUGUGUAUGGAGUAGAAAUGAGUCACGUAGGACCUUUGAGAACUAGGGGUCAAGUUACUAGCAUGCAACUUUCUUCAUCCCAUAAUGCCAUUCAUAGAUUAUAGUUGUGCCUUUUUAAAAAAAAUCCCACCAACCUUCAUGGCACUUUCGGUGUCUCCCCUCUCUGACAGAAGCGUGGAGCCCAAGGAGCUCUGUGCUAUUCUCAUGAAUGUUGCAAAUACAGGAGGCACAAUUCUCCUGUUGUUACAGACCCACAGGAAGUACCGCAGCAAAUGGGGGACAUGAGAAUUUCUUCAAGGACAGUUUACUAAGGGAUGUAGCGAAAAACAGUUCAGGAUUGUUGGUGGGGUUCAAAGAGCAACUGCAGACAGCUGAUCACCACUUCUGAGCCCAAGAAACGAGCACUGGUGGGUGGGAUCACAUCAUAAUGCAGGUUUGGGAAGAUGAGCAGCGGCUGCAGAACUUUUGGAUGCAAAAGGCCAUAGUGCUGGAUCUCUGUGCUGAGCUGUCCCCAGACCUCCAGUACAGGGACACCAGAAUGAGAGCUGCAUUGACAGUGGAGAAGAGAGUGGUGAUUUCACUCUGGAAACUUGGAAUGCUGAAUUGCUACCAGUAAUGGGAAAUCAUUUUGGAGUUCGAAAAUCCACAGUAGGGACCAUUGUCAGUUAAAUGUGUAGGGCUAUUAGUCGUCUCCUGCUACUCAGGACUGUGACUCUUCGCAAUGUGCAGGACAUGGUGGAUUGCUAGUGAGGGGUUCCUAAACUGCGGUGGGGCAAAAGACCACACUCGUAUGCCUAUUUUAGCACAAGUCCACCUUGCAACAGAGCCAUCAACAAAAAGGGUUCCUUUUCUAUGGUUAAGCAAGCAUUGGUCAGUCACCAGGGACGUUUCAGUGAUGCCUAUGUGGGCUGGUCUGUGAAGGUGCAUGAUGCUUGCAUCUUUAAGAAGACGGGAUUGCUCAGAAAGCUGCAAGCAGGGACUUUCUUUCCCAACUGGCAGCUUACCAUUGGCAAUAUUGAAAUGCCAGUAUUGAUUCUGUGGGACCCAGCCUGCUCUUUGCUCCCCUGGCUCAUGACUUAUGCUGACUACCUCAAGACCACUAAGGAAAGACUCAGCUACUGACUCAGCAGGUGCAGAAUGACUGUUGAAUAUGGUUAUGGUGGAUUGAAGGGACGCUGGUGGUGUUUAGUCACCAGAUUAGAUCUCACUGAGAAAUAUAUCUCAAUGGUUAUAGUUGGCUGUUGCGUCUUGCAUCAGAUCUUUGAGGCCAAGGGGGGGGAAGCUGUCAUGACUGGAUGUCUGCUGACACAGGGGCCAUCACAAGAGCUGAGAAUGGAGCUAAUGAUUGAGGGUAGCUUUGAAAGAGCUGCAGUAGGGUGCUGUUCUGGAGUGUGCUGUGGGUGCUGCUAGGAAUUGGGUGGUACCUGCUGUCUGUUUAUAAAUAAGACUGUCUCUUUGCCAGGACAUGUGUGCACUGUGAUCCUGUACAUUUACAAGUACCGUGUGCUUUCCAUUUCCGGUGUGAAGUAAUAAAGAGAAUCUCAUUCUCAAAAAACAGAAAUUUAUUGAAUUGCACCAACAGCGCAGGAAAAAUCGAUGUGCAAAAAGCAUGCAAGGCAAUACAAAUGUUAAUUGUAAAUUAAUGGAAUGGAACUUGAAGAUUAGAAAGGCAGCAAACAUUUCUGCUCGUUUGAAUGCACACGUAGUCGAUUUUGACUACACAUAUACCAGGCGUUGGUCUCUCAGGUUAGAGUAUGUGAAGUUGUGGUUUCCCUUGCUGUCCCCUGGCAUGGAGUAGUAGGGAUAAGGAUGAGGCCCAUGAUUCUAUAUGGUAUGUAGGGAGCUGGAGUUCUCCAAGGAGUGCAAAGGGUGGGGAGUCUGGGAUUUCUGGACUUAUAGCUCACCAGGAUCUGCAGCGUUUGGGUUUACUGCGUGAGUAGACAGAUUACAUCCUCAUGCAUCCUUUUCCUGCUGGGACUCUCGUACCUUUCUCCCGAUCACUCUUGCUUUCUGCUACAUUGGCCCUCCAGCCCCUUUUUAUCAGUCUGAUGCAGCACUGGCUUGCAGGAUCUUGCUGGACAUAUCCUUCCUGGUCGUCUUCUUUCUCCUCCUUGUCAGGGUCAGGUGUUCUAUGGGAGUGGAGGGGGCAGCCCUCAAGGCCUCCAUGCUAGUAUCUGCUGAUAACAAUAGUCAGAUGUGCCAUAGGAUUUAGAGCCACUAGGGGAAGAGAAAGAUAAGAUUCAAAACUCCUUUCCCCUAUUCCCAUAAACACUUUUAAUAAGACAUGCUUAUUGACACUUCAGCUAUGGAGCACCUGGGCACAGCUCCACUCUCCAGCCCCAGGCAUGGUGAGUGUGGCCCAUCCAGGGCAAGAUGGAAGGGGGACCAGGGAAAGGAAUUUUGGUUGCAUGAAACAAUAAAAUUUCAGUCCCUAUUCUAAGGGUGGGAGCAUGGAGCAGUGGCACUGAGUACUGGCCCUGUUUUCCACAGGCAGUGGAGGUUUUAGCUGAUAUCUCACUGCAGAGCGUAACAAAGACACAGAGGGAGCAGCUGCUACUGGUGUCCUGAAGCCACCUGGGUUUGUAUGCCAUUAGCCUGUUUACUGCAAUGGUGCCAGCUGAACUCAUCACAGAGCAGUGCAGGAAAGCAUCCUACCACUGAGGAAGAAAUAAGGCAGCUAUCCCUAAAACCUUCGGCAGAGGAUUGCAGAGUAUCUCCUUGAACGUUUCAUUGAGGGACACCCCUAUGUACAUAAAACCAAACUGCCCUGCAUGGCUCACCCUAUCCCCCAUCUAGCCCAACAGGGGAAUGAAAAGCAGGUGCUAAUUCUGCCUCUGUUUGUUGUGCCACUAACUCUUCUAGUCUGAGUAGAACAAUGAAAAGUUGAUACCUUUGUCUUGACUUGGGGAUGGGCCGGGCGCCAUCUUUAAAUUUAAACAUUGUAAGGAAAAAUACAUGCCCGUGCUUACCUGAGGUCCCUUCCCCUUCAGCAGGCUCAUCCAUGUUUGGCUGGCAGGACUGGCUAGACUGGUCAGGCAGGUCCUGGCUCAUGACAUGGCUAGGCUCCUCCCCAGCUGCAUCUCCCCUAACUCCUAUCUUCCUCCUUGCUGAUCAUGGCAGGGGGCUCUGUCUCGGGCUCCUGUGAGGUAUCCAUUGUGGUCUGUGGCACACUACUGGGACCUCUGCCAAGUAUGGCAUGCAACUCAUUGUAGAAGCGGCAGGUCUGCGGCUCCGCACCAGAUCAAUUGUUGGCCUCUCUGGCCUUGUGGUGCGCCUGGCAAAGUUCCUUUGCUUUCACGCAGUCCCUGCCAUACCUCUUUGCCUGCACGCCCCUGUGCCUCUCUUUGCAGGUAUCCACAAUUCUGUGUCUGGUCCAUAGCUAUGCUUGCACAGCCUCUUCUCCCCAUAGGCGCAGGAAUUGCAAUACCUCCCGUGUACUCCAGUCAGGAGUGUUUCUGGUGCAUGGAGCUAGCAUGGUUGGUUGGGCAAUUGAAUGCAGCAAGGGUGAGCUGCUAGGUGUACUUGCCAAGGUGGGCCAUCAGGAAAAGGCAUUUCAGAAAUAUGCAGGGGACUUUAAGGGGAGUGGCUUUCGGUCUCUGACCCCUGGUCAGUGGAGUUCACCCUGGUCAGAAUUGUAAUCACUGUCACAGGAAAUGGGGAAUUGUGGGAUAGCUGAUGGAGGACCAUUAGGGUCAACAUAGUUCAUGUGGUGCCAUCAACCUCAGUAGUUCAACCAUGGCUCAACACCGUUUGGAAGGUGGUCUUACUGUGUCACUGUAAUGGGGCGCUGAUGUCGGCCGGAGAUUAAUUUAAAUGUAGACAUGUGCACAAAUAAGUUGACGCAAGGUGACUUGCAUCAGCCUAACUUUGGCAUGUAGACCAGGCCUUAGAACCAUCUAUAAAUUGUUGGAGAGCUCGGGGGUGGGGGGAAGGAGGAGCUUGUCUUCCAGAGUUCAUAGAAAUACUCAUUGCAGGGGAACCUGCUGACCCCCAGCAUGUGCAGCGAAGAGUUUGAUCCCAGUAUGGACAGGGUCUAAAUUGUGCUGGAAAUCCCUCUCCUGUGAACAUGCUAUUUGGGCAGUACUGCAUUCAAUAACUGGGGGCUGUGAGGGGAGUUUGAGUACUAAUUCCGAAGACUGAGUAUAGUAGCAGUUCCAUUUUCUGAUGAUUGAAUGGGAGGAGGUGGGAUCUCAAACUUAGUGUAGUGGUUUUGCUUUAGCACAAAAUAAUUCACUAGGGUCAGUCAAAUAUGGCCUUGGGCUCUUCAAACAAGUGACUGAUUUACUUGGCUUUAUGAUACAGUUAAUUACUAUACCUUAAAACAUUACUAUGUAUUGACAAUACUUUGUGUUUUGUUUA